CUACGGGAGGCUCCAGUGGGGAAUAUUGCACAAUGGGGGAAACCCUGAUGCAGCAACGCCGCGUGGAGGAUGACGCAUUUCGGUGUGUAAACUCCUUUUAUAUCCCAAGAUAAUGACGGUAGGAUAUGAAUAAGCACCGGCUAACUCCGUGCCAGCAGCCGCGGUAAUACGGAGGGUGCAAGCGUUACUCGGAAUCACUGGGCGUAAAGGGCGCGUAGGCGGGUUGUCAAGUCUUGAGUGAAAUCCAACGGCUCAACCGUUGAACUGCUUGAGAAACUGGCAGCCUAGAGUAAGGGAGAGGUAGAUGGAAUUGGUGGUGUAGGGGUAAAAUCCGUAGAGAUCACCAGGAAUACCCAUUGCGAAGACGAUCUGCUGGAACUUUACUGACGCUGAGGCGCGAAAGCGUGGGGAGCAAACAGGAUUAGAUACCCGAGUAGUC
rnacentral:rRNA from 1 species